rnacentral:rRNA from 1 species
CGCGGCCUAUCAGCUUGUUGGAGAGGUAACGGCUCACCAAGGCAUCGACGGGUAGCUGGUCUGAGAGGAUGAUCAGCCACACUGGGACUGAGGCACGGCCCAGACUCCUACGGGAGGCAGCAGUGGGGAAUCUUGCACAAUGGGCGAAAGCCUGAUGCAGCAACGCCGCGUGCGGGAAGAAGGCCCUAGGGUUGUAAACCGCUUUCAGCAGGGAAGAAAAUGACGGUACCUGCAGAAGAAGGUGCGGCCAACUACGUGCCAGCAGCCGCGGUGACACGCAGGCACCAAGCGUUAUCCGGAUUUAUUGGGCGUAAAGAGCUCGUAGGCGGUUCGGUAAGUCGGGUGUGAAAACUCUGGGCUCAACCCAGAGACGCCAUCCGAUACUGCGGUGACUUGAGUUCGGUAGAGGAGUGUGGAAUUCCUGGUGUAGCGGUGAAAUGCGCAGAUAUCAGGAGGAACACCAACAGCGAAGGCAGCACUCUGGGCCGAUACUGACACUGAGGAGCGAAAGCAUGGGGAGCAAACAGGAUUAGAUACCCUGGUAGUCCAUGCCGUAAACGUUGGGCACUAGGUGUGGGGAUUUAUCAACGAUCUCCGCGCCGUCGCUAACGCAUUAAGUGCCCCGCCUGGGGAGUACGG